rnacentral:rRNA from 1 species
AUGAAGUUGCAAACGCAACUACUACUCUUGGCUUUCAUCACCGCAGGGCUGAUCAUGAGCCGCGGCGUCCUCGCCGGCGGCACCCACACGAUGCCGGUGCGCGCGCUACGCCGCGUCGAGGACGAGGACGUGGGAUUUCUGGAGCGUGAGGAGGCGGCGUACCCACGGAGGAGGGUGCUUUACGGCGACCAGUACAUCAGCUACAAAGGGGUGCAGGCGAGCAGGCCGGCGUGCUCCGGCUCCUCUGGCCGGGGGCAGCCCUACACCGGUAGCGGCUGCCGCGGGCGUUAA